ACGCAGAAAGCUUAUUCACUCACUCACUCAAUUACUACCAAAUAUCUCUCUGUUUUUUUGUGAUCUUCAGAAUUUUAUAGCAUAGCCAUGGCGGAGUACGAGAACAAGAAGAUCGAGGAGGGAGUUCAAGAGAGUGGCGUCGAGGCCACGGAUCGUGGGCUGUUUGAUUUUUUGGGAAAGAAGAAGGAGGAAGAAGAGAAGCCCCAUGUUGCAGCUCCGGAGGAGGAGGUGGUCGUCGUUACUGAACACUUUGAGAAAGUUGAAGUUUCUGAACCUCCACCACCGGUCCACAAGGUUGAAGAAGAAGAGAAGAAACCUAGUCUCUUGGAGAAGCUCACCCGAUCCGAUAGCAGCUCUAGCUCUUCUAGCGAUGAGGAGGAAGGAGAAAACGGAG
rnacentral:misc_RNA from 1 species